UACGUAGGGUGCAAGCGUUAAUCGGAAUUACUGGGCGUAAAGCGUGCGCAGGCGGUUUUGUAAGUCAGAUGUGAAAGCCCCGGGCUCAACCUGGGAACUGCGUUUGAAACUGCAAGGCUAGAGUGUAGGAGAGGGGGGUAGAAUUCCACGUGUAGCAGUGAAAUGCGUAGAGAUGUGGAGGAAUACCAAUGGCGAAGGCAGCCCCCUGGCCUAACACUGACGCUCAUGCACGAAAGCGUGGGGAGCAAACAGG
rnacentral:rRNA from 1 species